rnacentral:rRNA from 1 species
AUUGAACGCUGGCGGCAGGCCUAACACAUGCAAGUCGAGCGGAUGAAGGGAGCUUGCUCCUGGAUUCAGCGGCGGACGGGUGAGUAAUGCCUAGGAAUCUGCCUGGUAGUGGGGGAUAACGUCCGGAAACGGGCGCUAAUACCGCAUACGUCCUGAGGGAGAAAGUGGGGGAUCUUCGGACCUCACGCUAUCAGAUGAGCCUAGGUCGGAUUAGCUAGUUGGUGGGGUAAAGGCCUACCAAGGCGACGAUCCGUAACUGGCCUGAGAGGAUGAUCAGUCACACUGGAACUGAGACACGGUCCAGACUCCUACGGGAGGCAGCAGUGGGGAAUAUUGGACAAUGGGCGAAAGCCUGAUCCAGCCAUGCCGCGUGUGUGAAGAAGGUCUUCGGAUUGUAAAGCACUUUAAGUUGGGAGGAAGGGCAGUAAGUUAAUACCUUGCUGUCUUGACGUUACCAACAGAAUAAGCACCGGCUAACUUCGUG